AAUAUUGCACAAUGGGCGAAAGCCUGAUGCAGCGACGCCGCGUGGGGGAUGAAGGCCUUCGGGUUGUAAACUCCUAUUAGUAGGGAAGAAGCGAAAGUGACGGUACCUUCAGUAAAAGCGCCGGCUAACUACAUUCCAGCAGCCGCGGUAAUACGUAGGGCGCAAGCGUUGUCCGGAAUGAUUGGGCGGAAAGAGCCCGUAGGCGGCUUGUCACGUCUGCUGUGAAACCCCAACGCUUAACGUUGGGCGUGCAGUGGGUACGGGCAGGCUAGAGUGCGGUAGGGGUGACUGGAAUUCCUGGUGUAGCGGUGGAAUGCGCAGAUAUCAGGAGGAACACCGAUGGCGAAGGCAGGUCACUGGGCCGCAACUGACGCUGAGGAGCGAAAGCGUGGGGAGCAAAC
rnacentral:rRNA from 1 species